rnacentral:lncRNA from 1 species
UUAGGUCAUAAUGAGACACUUUAUGGCUCCAAGUCUUUAUCUUCCCAUGCCUUAUAUAACAGACUCUGCUGUCUAUACAGACUCAGUGUGCACCCGACUGCUGAGAUAGGUCGGGUUUAUGCACUCCUUUCUUCCUUCCCGGCUUCAGUCCUCCUCCCUGAGAACUUCAUUGUCUUUACAACACUGUCGUAGAAUCUAGAAGUCUAGAUUCUAAGCGUGCAAAGGCUUCAAAUGUCCCCUUUGAUGAGGCAACAUGGGGCUGCAUAGGCUGUUUAUACUCCUGGGCUUUUGUUCCUGAGUGUGUACUUGUGAGUGUGUACGUGUGCACUCUGCCUUUAGGGUGACUUGGAGAUGCACUCGUGUCUUUAGGGGAGAGCAGAGUUUGUCUGGUGCACAUGUGACUCCUGGAAGCAGGACUUUGUCUAGACCCUUUCCACUCCUACCCCCAGGCUCUGACUCUGCAGAGUUGCUCAGAGCGUCUCUGAUUCUGCUCCAAGUGCAAAGGGUGCCCAAACUAGGAAGGAUCAAAAAGUUGUUUCUUCUCCUUUUUCCCCUUGGAUGUAACAGCUCACCCACCCCUGCCACAGCUGACGGAAUGGGAAUGGCAGAAGGUGGGCGCAGGGGGUGGGGGUGGCAAGAGGAUGGCAAUCAUUAGUUUGGGAACAAUCUCUGAGCCAAAGAAAUGCCUUUGGCAUGUGAGAACAGCACACGUUUGUCUCUUUGCCUCCUUGGAAGGAGGUACACUGUAACUCUGACUCAACCUGGGAACUAUUUAUGGGAGAUCAUUCUUAAAGACUAUUUAUUUGAUAUUGCAAUUAGUACUGGCCUGGAGUCACCGUGAGUUGGGUCACUAAGAAAUAGCUAACCAUGAGGCAAAUACAAAUUUGAGAUAGGAAUAUUUUUUUUUUUACAAGAAUCAGGAUUACAUGAACACAUUGUUUAUAGAUGAAAGAGCAUUAUGAAAAACUAGACUUUUGUUGUGAGAGAGUAACCUCUGGUUGGAUAGAAUGGUAGAAUCAAGAACUUUCAUCUCUCAAUGUGAUCUUUGGAAUUACCCAAUGUUGUGAGCUCAUGAGUGUCCACAUUUAUAUGCGUAGGUAGAUUACCUUAACCAAGUUACACUUCUGCUCACAAGGGACUGCUGUUCUCUGUGAUUCAAAUCGAUAUUUGGAAACAGGUGGUCAUGUCUGGCAAGCAGGUUUUGGCAUCAGCUCUGCACCUGUGUUUUGUUUAGUCUAAUCAUUCACGCACAGGUACCCCUGGGAGCAAAGCAUUUUGACUUCCAACAGAAUUUACUGCAGAAACCACAGCCUCUCACUGAUCUGAACUGGAAGGCAUCAGUAUAUAGAAGAGUGAAAUAUAUUCAGACCCAGGAGCUGGGAUAAACCUGGGGGACAUUGUGGAAUUGACUUUCUUCUUGAGAUGUGGCUGGUGUUUCCUGUAUCUUCUCCUUCCCAUCCUCCCCGCCUCCCUUGUUCACCAGUAUCUUCUCCAGGUGUUUCAAAUGGUCACUGUGAGGUUUGUUUGGAGAAACACCCAACAUCCAUAAAACUGUGCAGGGAUGAACAUUGGUAUGGUACUGAUGUUGAUGC